AGCUAAAUAGAACUACAAAAAUAUAUUAUCUAUUUAAUUGACCAUUAUUUAAGACAACUAAUUUCCAUGACUGUGGGAUCCGUGUAAAAUAUCAAUCAGCAGGUGCACUAUUGCCAAUGCAAGGGCAUUAAACACUAUUGCACCAUAAUUUAAUUAAAAUAAAACCUAAUUUAAUCAAAUUAAAGCACGUGAAUGCAUUCAAAUUGAAAAUCAUUGGUUACCCUUCACGUAAAAUAUGCGGUUAUAGACAGGCGCAGUGGCCCGAUCAGCUAUACAUGCUAUGCUAUGCUAUGCUAUGCUAAGUUAAGCUAAGCUAAGCUAAGCUAAGCUAAAGACACUCCUGCAUUGCUCCCUUGCAGGUCCAUCACAAUCACUGUUUAACCCCUUAAUACGUUAAUUUGCACAAGCUUAACCACAGCUGUGUACACAUAACACUUAAAACGAUAUCCGGCCGGGCUUCAGACGAACACAAGGCCUGUGCCGAUCAGUCAUAUAGAAGACGCUGAAGCUUAAACAACAAGCGACUUAUUUUGCUCAUAUCCUAAAAUCUCCUCACCUUUCCUGGUCCCUCCGCAUAGUGACUGGAGCGAACCGCAGAGGUGGCGAAGCGUCGCACAGCUUGUCCGAGCAUCGUUUACUGCUGAAGUGUGAGUAUGCUCAACCUGAAUCUGACUCUCAACGACCUUCCUGCCUGGAGAUAGAAGGCCAACAGCCGUAUGGGUAACGUCACAGUCACGCCGCGAGUUAUUAUGGGAAAUGUAGUUUUACAGCAGACGUCUCAAAAGUCACGUACACUGAGACGCAACAAUCAGAGUGAAUUUCGCGAGAAUAGCGAAGACUUGACUUGAAUAAUUAAUAUUCAAAUAAUUUUGCUACAAGUUUGAUCCCAGCAGAAAAUAGACCUUGGCUCUGACUGAAUGAACUGGAAAAGCAAGGACUUCUAAGAUUUCUCUUCGCCCACAACCGAGCAGAGACUGCAGGAUAAAAGAAAGCGUUACAUUCCGUGUGCACUUUCUGCUUUCUUGCAACCCAUCAACCUUAAAUUCACCCUUCUGUGAAACUAUCUGCAACUUCAUGACGAUAUCAAAGCCGCGCAUGACACCUGAGUUCAGCAGGCAGGGUCAUAAAGUGUUCAUGGCCGUGGAAAACCACCAGCGUUUAAAAUCCACUGCAACAGCCUGUGAAAAUCCAACCCUGCAUCAAUAGAAUAACAAUGACGCAGUACAGAAAAAAGGAUUGAUUAAAGUUGAUUUCUGGUCCUGGCACUGGCUGAGGGGUCUUUCAUCAGGUUCAACCUUUGGGAAGGAGUGAACGAUGGUGCGGCGAGGCAGGGCAGAAGCCUGGCCCUAUGGGAGAACUCGAAUUAGAUAGGGCCACUGCCAGCUGAUGCAGUAUUAAAUGCAGCAGAGCUAAAGCUGAAUCAGCCACUUUGAGAAGUUUGCAUCAAAACUUCUGUUUUUCCCUGUCAAUCACAUUACAUCUUGCG
rnacentral:lncRNA from 1 species